rnacentral:rRNA from 1 species
CCUACGGGCGGCAGCAGUGGGGAAUAUUGCACAAUGGGGGAAACCCUGAUGCAGCAACGCCGCGUGAGCGAAGAAGGCCUUCGGGUCGUAAAGCUCUGUCCUAAGGGAAGAAGGAUGACGGUACCUUAGGAGGAAGCCCCGGCUAACUACGUGCCAGCAGCCGCGGUAAUACGUAGGGGGCGAGCGUUAUCCAGAAUCACUGGGCGUAAAGGGUGCGUAGGCGGCCGAUAAAGUCUGGGGUGAAAGGCUACGGCUCAACCGUAGUAAGCCUUGGAAACCUAAUGGCUUGAGUGCAGGAGAGGGGGGCGGGAUUCCUGGGGGAGCGGGUAAAUGCGGAGGUAUCAGGAGGAACACCAGUGGCGAAGGCGGCUCUCUGGACUGUAACUGACGCUGAGGCACGAAAGCGUGGGGAGCAAACAGGAUUAGAUACCCUGGAAGUC